rnacentral:rRNA from 1 species
AACGAACGCUGGCGGCAUGCCUAACACAUGCAAGUCGAACGAAGCCUUCGGGCUUAGUGGCGCACGGGUGCGUAACGCGUGGGAAUCUGCCCCUUGCUUCGGAAUAACAGUUAGAAAUGACUGCUAAUACCGGAUGAAGUCUUCGGACCAAAGAUUUAUCGGCAAGGGAUGAGCCCGCGUAGGAUUAGGUAGUUGGUGGGGUAAAGGCCUACCAAGCCGACGAUCCUUAGCUGGUCUGAGAGGAUGAUCAGCCACACUGGGACUGAGACACGGCCCAGACUCCUACGGGAGGCAGCAGUGGGGAAUAUUGGACAAUGGACGCAAGUCUGAUCCAGCAAUGCCGCGUGAGUGAUGAAGGCCUUAGGGUUGUAAAGCUCUUUUACCAGGGAUGAUAAUGGCAGUACCUGGAGAAUAAGCGCCGGCUAACUCCGUG